ACCUUCUACCAGAUUUUUGUUGGAAAAUAUUUAUGCCAUUUCCAAUGAGCGACAAAUGCAAGGGAAAUUAAAUGAAUGUGGCAAUCAAAACGAGUGAUUUGUGCAAUUGCAAUUACUAUUUGAGGCUACAACGACACUU
rnacentral:snoRNA from 1 species